AAUGGAUCCAGUCCUAUUUGCUUGGUCCUGUACCCAGCGUAAUACCUUCUAGCCUUUCCAUUACGGUCAAAGCAAUUAUCAGCAAGCCUGGUCACAGGUAACGUCUUUCACAUCAGCUCACCACAGCAUACCAAGCGUCUUUUGGGGGGAGUAAGAUGGUCCUGACACCGUGAGAGUCUUUUUAAAGCCGUCCUCUCUCUCAAGGAGGCGGGGCACUGCAAAGGAUGCUGCAGGGACAUCCACGCGGAGGAUGUGCAAGGAGGGAUGAGCCAGCCGGCCCUGCGCCAGCACCACUGGUGGUCCCAGGAGGCUGGGAGCUCGCUAAGGCCAUCGGAGCGUCUUCUCGAGGCUUUCUGUGUGGAUGAAGUGCCCAGGGAGUGGCCACACUGGGGCCUGAGGCGAAAGUAAGAAUAGAUGCUGGCACAUACUUAGUGAAACUUCCUGCCAUGUUCUGAAUCAUGCAGAAAAAGUAAAUAGAAGCUUGCCAUAAAAAAACCGUGACCGCAUAGAGUCCCCAUUGCCCCAUCUGUUUGCACCUCACUGCCAACCCUCUGGGAGCUGACCGAGGGGCACGCAGGCCAUGGUAGAGGGGGAUGGGGGCAUGGGAACGGAGGCAGCUCAGAAAUCACGCUCUUUCAGAAACCAUAGACGCUAGCAAACCAACUGUCUGUCUUUAUUUACAGUUUUUGAUAUUUUGUUCAGUAUAGAUUUUGCCAUUAACUUUUAUUUUUCUGUUUAUUUAUUUUUUUUGUCUUUUUGCCAUUUCUUGGGCUGUUCCUGCAGCAUAUGGAGGUUCCCAGGCUAGGGGUUGAAUCGGAGCUGUAGCCCCCACCGGCCUAUGCCAGAGUCAUAGCAACGGGGGACCCGAGCCCUGUGGUGUAGGUCACAGAAAUGGCUCAGAUCCUGUGUUGCUGUGGCUGUGUUGUAGGCCAGCAGCUGCAGCUUUGAUUCGACCCCUAGCCUCGGAAUUUCCAUAUGCGGCAGGUGCGGCCCUAAAAAGAAAAAAAAAAAAAAUUACCUUGAUGACCAAAUUUGGGCUCCUCCUUACAUGGUCCCUCGCUUGCCUCACCCCCAUCCUGGCCCCGAGUUGAAAGGGCCUCAGUGCUGACUCAGUGGCACCAAUGACAGCCCGGGCCUUCCUAGAGGAGUUCAGGAUUCUGGGUCUUUCUAGGACUUCCCAACUUCUUCUGCGUUUGGGGAAAAUCCCACCAUAUUUUUCCUCUCUCAGAAGCACAAGCAGGGCAUUCAGCUGCAUGUUUAGGGAGGGGUUUCAAUUCCCUUUGAUAGAGGUGGGGUGUUAUGAGUAGUAAACAUAAUUCUCCAGGUAAAACUGAGUCCCCUGAACGUGUGCAGUGUUGAAGAGGAACUGGGGAUUUGGAUUGAGUUUGGGGUUUUCAUUUGGCUCGUCUACUUCCUAGCUUUAGUCUUUGGGGCUCUGUUUUCUCAUCAGUAAAUGAAAAUAAUGCCCAUGGAUGGGGUGGUGGGGAGAUUCAGUCAAGCAGCCUGGGCAAAGAAUCUGGCACACACCACGCUCGGCAGAUUUCUAGUUUCCCUCUUCAUCCCAAAGAGAGACCCAUGUCCGCAAAUGAAUUCUUCGUUUGUUUGUUUGUUUUGUUUUUUCAUGGCUGCACCUGUGGCACAUGGAAGCUCCCGCUGCCCCAGCAAAUGGUUAUUCGGUCUUGUAUUUAUUCAGCCACACAGUCAGGGGAUUCUGGUGGCAGACAUUCACUGGGAUUUCAUGCUCGGGCGGGACUUCUGCGCAGCGCCUCACCCUGGCAGUGCCCACGAGAACACGGCGCUCCCUAGGGAUGCAGGCCAGUGUCUGUUCUUUUCCAGGUAGCAUCUUCCUCUAGUCUCCUUUCCUGUUCAAGCUCCUUCAGGAGACCCGUGCUUGUCACAGAGCUUUUUCCAGGCUCCGUGAUGGCUUGUAGGGGGGCCCAGUGCCCUGGGGGGAGGGGCAUACAUGUGAGAGAGGACCUGUCGCCCUGUCGGCUGGUCCUUGGUGUGCCCAGGUCGCUCUGUGUUCCUGGCAGUCCGGGGAAAGCUGUGUUAAGGUUUGGGGCCGUGGGUCUUGCUGCUUACUUUAAAACUGAAUCCCGUGCUGUUGGAUUCCGCUUGGGGGCAGACCACACAGGCUGGAGGUCCCAAGCCCCAUGUGCCAUCCCCUCUACCUCUGCCACCUUCCAACUAGGAGAGGCCCCCUGGCCCAGUGCCAACCAAAGGGACAAAGGAAGCAGCAUUUGCUUAGGGUUCCUGAAAACUUCUGCUGCAGGGUGACUUCAUUUUUCUUUCCGAUGGAACAAACACAGAUGUGACGGGUGGGGCCGUUCUCACCAGAUGGAGACCAUGACGGGGGCCACUCAACAGAAAAGUGAGCCCCUUAUUUGUUUAAGCCGCUGUGGUUAGGAUUUCUGUCACUUUCAGCCCAAAUCCUCUCUUUCUGGUACACCCCCGACUCCUGCGAUCCAGGGGGUACCCAGGAACGUCUGCAGGACUCAUAAGGGAUCAGAUCAGUCUAGGGCACAGCUGGUCACCCCUGUGACUGGAUGAAGCCGUGUUCCUGGCCUUCUCUAGCCUUUGAUGAGCCACCCUGGAGGUCCUCUGGAGUCCUGGACGGUCCACCUCACCUUUCAGCCAGACCUGCCCAGCCCUUUGCCUGGGCUCCGACUGGACCCCCUGCUCCUGGAAGUACACUGGGACCUCUCGUUUGGGCAAAGACACAGUUCCCAGAGAGUAACUACUUGAGAAGGAGGCGAGGUCAGCUUGGUGGACACCGCAGUUAAAGGCCAAAACAUGGCCUUGUUUCAAGAAAUUCUUAACCACCUAUCACAAUCCAUUUCAAGUUUGUUGAUGAGAGGAUGAAUGGUAACUUUGGUAAAACUGGCGGGAAAAGGCGUCGCUGAGACAGAAGUCAUGCACCGUAGUUUUUGAGGAAGGUGCCUUCCUGAUGGAUUAAGGGCAUCAGAGGGAAGGGAUGUCUCAUCCUGCCUACAUUUCCCCCAGGGAGGCAGGGCAGGGGUCCUGGGUCUGCUCCUUCCGAGCCCUUUCCUCUUUGAUUCCAUGGCAGCACUGGACACCAGGGGCUCUCUGGCCUUCCUUGUCCCUCUUUCCAGCUGGGUCCUGCCCUUCACCACCUGUUGGCUACCACACCGAUCACUGAAGCUGCCACCAGAUGCGUACAGAGCUGUCAUGGGCUUGGUUCCCCAGACAGCCCUGUACGUUUAAACCCAAAGGCCGGAGUAGAAUUCAGGUGCUGAACAGACUUGGAUGGGCUGGGGCGCUGAUGAGCGCUGGCGGGUGAUGGAAGAGUGACAUUUUUAUCAGACAGUAAAAUGCAUAACCCUCUUCCAAAGUUCUGGUUAUAUAUAAGGGUGACAUAUGUUUAUCUGGAAUAGCUCCUGAUGAAUCUGCUUUUUAAAAAGCUCCAGACAAAAACAGUCUUCUGUAGGUUGUGACAACUGUGGGGAUGCUAAUUUUGUAGUGAGAGCCAUAAAUUGAUUGACAGGAGGCAAAGCAACCAUGAGGUAGAAGAUGAUUGGCUCAAAGACUGAUGUUGGCCACCAAUAAGAGAAGACGUGGAUGGCCAAGGUGCUGAGGGUGUUCCAAGCAGAUACAAGGAAAACAAGCUUGGGGAAGGAUUCCAACCUGAGGUCCUGUGGCUUCAUCAAGGGCUCUGAUGGGGCUUUGGGUGAGCAGAGGCUCAGGGAGCUGACCCAGCUGCACUGUCUAGGGGAGAGCCUUGUUGAAGGGAUGCUGGGGAAGGAGGUGUUUCCUGAGUGGAGGCAGCGACACCUAUAUGUCUCAGGCACAAAGAACCAUGAUGCUGUGGCCUCUGGGGAGCGCAAACAAAACAGAACAGAACAAAACAAAACCCAAAACCCCCAAACAAAAAAACCAAAUCAACAACUAGGAGAAGGGCAGAACAAGAAGAGCUCAAUCUACAGAUUUUUCUUUUCUUUUUGGCUUUUUAGAGCCACAUCUGUGGCAUAUGGAAGUUCCUAGGCUAGAGGAUGAAUUGGAGCUGCAGCUGCCAGCCUACACCACAGCACCAGCAAUGCCAGAUCCGAGUCACAUCUGCAACCUACACCACUCAUAGCUCACAGCAAUGCCAGAUCCUUAACCCACUGAGCGCGGCCAGGGAUCGAACCCCUGUCCUCAUGGAUACUAGUUGGGUUCAUUACUGCUGAGCCACCGUGGGAACUCUUGGAUUGUUUUAUUUCAUCUUUAUCCCUGGAGUUUGCCUGCCUUUCAGUAAUUGGCUACUUAAACUCAACAUGGAGACUCAACUGACUGCACCAUUGGGGGUGGGGUCUUUUCUUUCUGCUUGUCUCCAGGUGAAGCCUGAUGCUUCGCACUUGCUGGCCACCAGGGAGUGUUUGCUGCUUGAGUGGAAAAAUUCACCCUGGUGGACUGGAAUAAGAGGGUUGGGGUCCAAGAGGGGAGAAGCCCUUCUUCCCCUCUUGGGGGUGCUGGAGGCGCUGGCUUCUGGUUUGAGAAGUUUCUGCCUGCCCCAGCCCCACCACCCAUAGACUCAACCUUCUUGUGUCAAACUGGUGGGAGUCAAGACAUUUCUCUUUCUGGGCCAAACACAUGCCUCUGGGGCAGCUGCCCUAAUCAAUGAUUACAGCAAUGAAGACACCGGGAAACAUUUUCUUCGUGUCCUUCAUGAACUGUCUUGCUUAGGAAGAUUUGGACAGCAUUCCAAGUGUGGUCCUGAAUAGACUUGAAUUUUUAUGUGAUCUGCUUUUUUUUUUUAACCACACCUUAAAAAAAAUUUUUUUUGGCCACGCCUGCUGUUCUGGGGCCAGGGAUCAAACCCGAGCCGUGCCGCAGCAGUGACCUGAGUUGCAGCAGUGACAACACCAGGUCCUUAACCCACUAAACCACCAGGAACUCCUGCUUGGUCUCCUUUUUAAAAUGGGCCUCAUUUGUAAACUCAAAUGGACAGUUCCCCACCUGCAGCCCCCACGGUGUAAGCCUCCAUCACAGCGUCAAUACACAGGAUUCACUUAACUGUCCUUUUUACUUGGUGCCCCCACCCUCACCCCCCUAAGAUGGGGACAUCUUUUUGAUGCCCACAGAGCACCUGGAGCAGUCAACACUUAGGCAUUUUGCUGAAAAUGACUCCAAUGCUAAAGAUUCCAUCAAAGUAUAUCUUUUCAUAUCUGGUGUGAAGAUGCUUCAGUUGCUCAGCUAUUCCAAACAAAUUCACCUUGGGAGUUCCCGUUGUGGCUCUGUGGUAACGAACCUGACCAGGAUCCAUGAGGAUGCAGGUUCACUCCUUGGCCUUGCUCAGUGGGUUAAGGAUCCGGUGUUGCCGUGAGCUGUGGUGUAUGUCGCAGACGCAGCUUGGAUCCUGCGUUCCUGUGGCUGUGGUGUAGGGUGGCAGCUGUAGCUCCGAUUCAACCCCUGGCCCGGGAACAUCCGUAUGCCUCAGGUGCAUCCCUAAAAAGACAAAAAAAAAAAAGGACAAAAAAAUUCACCUUUUGUAGCCAAUAAAAAAAGCUGCUAUCAAAAAAAAAAAAAAAAAAAAAAAAAAA
rnacentral:lncRNA from 1 species